CCUACGGGAGGCAGCAGUGGGGAAUUUUGGACAAUGGGCGAAAGCCUGAUCCAGCAAUGCCGCGUGAGUGAAGAAGGCCUUCGGGUUGUAAAGCUCUUUUGUCAGGGAAGAAACGGUGAGAGCUAAUAUCUCUUGCUAAUGACGGUACCUGAAGAAUAAGCACCGGCUAACUACGUGCCAGCAGCCGCGGUAAUACGUAGGGUGCAAGCGUUAAUCGGAAUUACUGGGCGUAAAGCGUGCGCAGGCGGUUUUGUAAGUCUGAUGUGAAAUCCCCGGGCUCAACCUGGGAAUUGCAUUGGAGACUGCAAGGCUAGAAUCUGGCAGAGGGGGGUUAGAAUUCCACGUGUAGCAGUGAAAUGCGUAGAUAUGUGGAGGAACACCGAUGGCGAAGGCAGCCCCCUGGGUCAAGAUUGACGCUCAUGCACGAAAGCGUGGGGAGCAAACAGGAUUAGAUACCCGUGGUAGUCCACGCCCUAAACGAUGUCUACUAGUUGUCGGGUCUUAAUUGACUUGGUAACGCAGCUAACGCGUGAAGUAGACCGCCUGGAGAGUACGGUCGCGAAGAUUAAAACCGUUAAAGGAAUUGACGG
rnacentral:rRNA from 1 species